CCUCACUGCAUCACAUGCUAUCAAGUGAAAAGUAAUCCAAUUAGGCUCAUCGCCAUCACUUCCAACUCACCAUUCCGAUGUUAGUGCCAAACAUGCUGUCCUGUAUCCUCAAACUCCAAACAUCAGAAAAUAUUCCUUCUUUUAGAAGGGGGUGGUAUAAUAUCCUGUUAUUUCACAAACGACUUGAAGAUAAGCCAUCUUUCUUGUUUACAGAAUAAAGGAUAAACAGUUAGACUACAUUUCUAAUGCUCCCUGACAAGAUUCAGUCUUGUGUUUGAGUUUUGGCCCAUGAUAGAUAGGCAGAAGUGUGGAGGUUCUUAGAGAACUUGCCCAUAAAACUUCCCGAAGAAUUCCCUCUCUUGGCUCACUGGCCGCCUGGAUGCAUUGGAUCCAGAAGACUAAAACCAAAAGACCACAGGACGCUUAAGUGGAAGAAACCUGGGCUGUGAAUGGCCAUGCAUGCCGUCCUCCCUACUGUGUUAAAUUGUGAUGGGAACA